rnacentral:rRNA from 1 species
AAACUAACAAGGAUUCCCCUAGUAACGGCGAGUGAAGCGGGAAGAGCUCAAAUUUGUAAUCUGGCACUUUCAGUGUCCGAGUUGUAAUCUCGAGAAGUAUUUUCCGCGCCGGACCGCAUACAAGUCUGUUGGAAUACAGCGUCAUAGUGGUGAGAACCCCGUAACUGAUGCGGAUGCCCGGUGCUUUGUGAUAUACUUUCGAAGAGUCGAGUUGUUUGGGAAUGCAGCUCAAAUUGGGUGGUAAAUUCCAUCUAAAGCUAAAUAUUGGAGCAAGACCGAUAGCGAACAAGUACCGUGAGGGAAAGAUGAAAAGCACUUUGGAAAGAGAGUUAACAGUACGUGAAAUUGUUGGAAGGGAAACGCUUGAAGUCAGACUUGCUAUUCGGAGUUCAGCCGCAAGGUGUAUUCUUCGAUUCGCAGGCCAGCAUCAGUUUUCGGGGGUGGAAAAUCACGGUUUGAAGGUAGCAACCUCGGUUGUGUUAUAGCUUUCCGUUGGAUUCAUCCUUGGGGACUGAGGAACGCAGUACGCUUUUUGCAAGGCUCUCGAGCUUUUCGUACUUAGGAUGCUGGUGGAAUGGCUUUAAACGAC